GGCAGUUUAGCUUAAAGGUAAAGCACUUGAUACACAAUCACAGAGGUGUGAGUUCAAGUCUCAUGGCUGGCCA
rfam:Octopus bimaculoides Scaffold31150_contig_8, whole genome shotgun sequence.